AUAAAUAAUAUAUUUCCCCCCAAAGCACCAGAUCCCAUUUGAACUUAAAAGACUAAGCAGGGGUAACCCUGGUUAGUACAUUAGUGGGAGAUCACCAACAAUUACCAGGUACUGCAUGUU
rnacentral:rRNA from 11 species